UGUGUUAUUCAUUUGAAAUAAUGCUUUUGAUUCAUUUGUUUCUGUAUGUAUUACAUUUUAGGACUUUUCCUCCCUUGAAGAUUCCUCUUCCUUGAAGGUUUGAUCUAUUUUCUUUUUUUUUGAGUACUCGAAGCAAUAACUUGAUUCCAAAAGGCAAUACCAAAAGGUGGACGGGCCUGGCCUGUGCCUUCAGCCUCCUGUUUCGUGGCCUUGUCGCAGCGCCGUGGAUGCACCCUUUCCUCUGGAGCUGAGGCCGCCGGACCAGCGGAGCCUGAGAGGCGGAAACAAUGUUGGUGGCCGCUGGGACAGGGGACCGGGAGAAGUAAGACACUAGAAAGGAACCUGGUGAGGAAAGGCCACAGGGACCGUCCUGGUCUACAGCGUUUGGGAGCAUUGCCUCCUUGGCCACACACAACACAGCAGCCUUCGUACAGCGCGUCCUGGCCCAGAUUCAAGGAAACUUUGUCUUAAACCAGCUAUGACUCACGGCAGUCUGUGAAGUCUACCUUUGUAAACAAAGAUAAAGCAACUACGUUUUCUCCCUACCUCAUCCCUCCAGACUUUGGAAACUCCCAGACACUAUUGGAAACACUGGUCAUAUUACCAAGGCUUUGGCUAGAAUAUCAUAUCUGAGAACGACACGCAUAGACUGAGAUAUGACCAGACAGCGCUAAGGAACAAAGAGUGACUGUAUGGAACCAACCCUUGGAAAAAUCAGCCUGAUAACCUUGCUGGGGUUCCCAACAGCCUUAUCGUGUGAGUCAGGAAGAUUGCCUCCUGACAGGCCCAGGAACCUCACGAAGAGGGACUGCCCCCCAAAUUUAUAGGUAUUCUAGUUCCAAGAAAGCAGACUUGAAAGAGCCUGGAUGGUCAGUCCCUAUUCUUGCUGCAGUCACAUAAACAAGAGAGCCAAGUUUAUUGCAACUAGACCGAAUUUGCAAACAAAAUAGUCUUGCUGCGGUUGUCCUUGCCACAGAUCGGGGCGAUUACAGACAAACAGGUCUGCUUCAGUAACACACCUUCACAGGUAUAUUCUAGCACCGCGGAUUAUCUUUGAUGUUUGUCUUCACCUAGGCUAGAUCCUGAAUUCUAGUUUCUUCCAGUAGUCGGCUACAACUCCAAACUUCCAGCGUUUCUCCCGCCCACUGACCUGGGAUCCUUGAGACCUAAAACCGCCCAUCCCACAACCGGGCAGGCCCAAGUGGGGUGACUCGAUCCAAACUUCGGAGGGACCACCACAGCAGCUCGCGGGGGGACAGUCUUCGUGCCUGUUGCCGGUGGGCCCCUCAGGACGGUCACCAGAGACGUUCACGCCACAGACCAGGCACGUCUGCCAGGUUGCCGCUGCCCGCCCUCCCCUCACCCGAGGACAUUUUGAGCCCUAGAUGUGCCCUAGUUAUUCCCUCCACGUGGCGGCACUCAGAGCUCAGGAACGGCGUUGUUGUCGGCCCCAGUCUUUAACCUCCGCUGCGUCAUGUGACGCCGUCACAAGACGUAGGGUGAGUAUAGGCCAAUGAGGCAUUCUGAGAGAGAGGGGCCAGUUUCAUACAGGCCUUGUUAUGCUUUGAACUACUAUUGUUCUAUCAUGUGUAAUGCAGAUAUUAUAAUGUUUUUUUAUUUUAAGACCCUUGCUUAUUUUUAAUAUGAAAUUUAUGGUCAAAUUAUGUUAUUACUGUCAUUAUGAUUGUUUUAUUCUAUUACAGUUGUUUUAUUAUUA